rnacentral:lncRNA from 1 species
GGGCUGGCCUACUUCGUCCGCCGCACUCGGAAUGGCGCGAGACUUUGCGAGGUGCCUCCGUGUGCCAAAAAUAGGCCGCGGGCACAGCCGCGCCCAAAAAUAACCGCCCGAAGGCGGGGGCGCCAAGUUCGUCCAGCGGAAAAAGGCCCCAAAAACGGGUGGGCUAUAGCCUUGGGGGGUGGGGCUGGCCAACUUCGUCCGCCGCACUCGGAAUGGCGCGAGACUUUGCGAGGUGCCUCCGUGUACCAAAAAUAGGCCGCGGGCACAGCCGCGACCAAAAAUAACCCCCCGAAGGCCGGGGCGCCACGUUCGUCCAGCGGAAAAAGCCCACAAAAACGGGUGGGCUAUAAUCUUGGGGGUUGGGGCUGACCAACUUCGUCCGCCGGACUCGGAUUGGCGCGAACCUUUGNNNNNNNNNNNNNNNNNNNNNNNNNNNNNNNNNNNNNNNNNNNNNNNNNNNNNNNNNNNNNNNNNNNNNNNNNNNNNNNNNNNNNNNNNNNNNNNNNNNNGAGGCGACUCCGUGUGCCAAAAAUAGGCUGCGGGAAGAGCCGCGCCCAAAAUUAACCGCGCGAAGGCCGGGGCGCCGAGUUCGUCCAGCGGAAAAAGGCCACAAAAACGGGUGGGCUAUAGCCUUGGGGGGUGGGGCUGGCCAACUUCGUCCGACGGACUCGGAAUGCCGCGAGACUUUGCGAGACACCUCCGUGUGCCAAAAAUAGGCUGCGGGCACAGCCGCGUCCAAAAAUAACCGCCCGUAGGCCGCGGUGCCAAGUUCGUCCAGCGGAAAAAGGCCCCAAAAACGGGUGGGCUAUAGCCUUGGGGGGUGGGGCUGGCCAACUUCAUCCGCUGCCCUCGGAAUGGCGCGAAACUUUGCGAGGCGCCUCCAUUUGCCAAAAAUAGGCCGCGGGCACAGCCGCGCGGAAAAAUAACAGCCCGAAUGCCGGGGCGCCAAGUUCGUGCAGCGGAAAAUCCCACAAAAACCGGUGGGCUAAAGCCUUGGGGGGUGGGGCUGGCCAACUUCGUCCGACGGACUCGGAAUGCCGCGAGACUUUGCGAGACACUUCCGUGUGCCAAAAAUAGGCUGCGGGCACAGCCGCGCCCAAAAAUAACCGCCCGUAGGCCGCGGUGCCAAGUUCGUCCAGCGGGAAAAGGCCCCAAAAACGGGUGGGCUAUAGCCUUGGGGGGUGGGGCUGGCCAACUUCAUCCGCUGCCCUCGGAAUGGCGCGAAACUUUGCGAGGCGCCUCCAUUUGCCAAAAAUAGGCCGCGGGCACAGCCGCGCGGAAAAAUAACCGCCCGAAUGCCGGGGCGCCAAGUUCGUCCAGCGGAAAAUCCCACAAAAACGGGUGGGCUAUAGCCUUGGGGGGUGGGGCUGGCCAACUUCGUCCGCCGCACUCGGAAUGGCGCGAGACUUUGCGAGGUGCCUCCGUGUGCCAAAAUCAGGCCGCGGGCACAGCCGCGCCCAAAAAUAACCUCCCGAAGGCAGGGGCGCCAAGUUCGUCCAGCGGAAAAAGGCCCCAAAAACGGGUGGGCUAUAGCCUUGGGGGGUGGGGCUGGCCAACUUCAUCUGCUGGGCUCGGAAUGGCGCGAAACAUUGCGAGGUGCCUCCGUGUGCCAAAAAUAGGCCGCAGGCACAGCCGUGCCCAAAAAUAACCCCCCGAAGGCCGGGGCGCCAAGUUCGUCCAGCGGAAAAAGCCCACAAAAACGGGUGGGCGAUAGCCUUGGGGGGUGGGACUGGCCAACUUCGUCCACCGGACUCGGAUUGGCGCGAUACUUUGCGAGGCAACUCCUUGUGCCAAAAAUAGGCCGCGGGCACAGCCACGCCCAAAAAUAACCGCCCGAAGGCCGGCGCGCCAAGUUCGUCCAGCGGAAAAAGGCCACAAAAACGGGUGGGCUAUAGCCUUGGGGGGUGGGGCUGGCCCACCUCGUCCGCCGGACUCGGAAUGGCGCGAGACUUUACGAGGCACCUCCGUGUGCCAAAAAUAGGCCGCGGGCACAGCCGCGCCCAAACAUAACCGCCCGAAGGCCGGGGCGCCAAGUUCGUCCAGCGGAAAAAGCCCACAAAAACGGGUGGGCUAUAGCCUUGGGGGGUGGGGCUGGCCAACUUAGUCCGCCGGGCUCGGAAUUGCGCGAGCCUUUGCGAGGUGCCUCCGUGUGCCAAAAAUNNN